GCCUGGGUGGCUCAGUCGCUUAAAGCGUCUGACUUCAGCUCAGGUCAUGAUCUCACAGUUUGUGGGUUCGAGUUCCGCAUCGGGCU
rnacentral:tRNA from 1 species